rnacentral:rRNA from 1 species
UGUUAAACUGCCAGUGACAUACGGGAGGAAGGAGAGGAUGACGUCAAGUCCGCAUGGCCCUUAUGGGUUGGGCUACACACGUGCUACAAUGGUAUGGACAAUGAGCAGCCACUUCGCGAGAAGGAGCGAAUCUACAAACCAUAUCACAGUUCGGAUCGGAGUCUGCAACUCGACUCCGUGAAGUCGGAAUCGCUAGUAAUCGC